rnacentral:rRNA from 1 species
UACAGAGGGUGCAAGCGUUGUUCGGAAUUACUGGGCGUAAAGCGCGUGUAGGCGGCACAGCAAGUUGGAUGUGAAAGCCCUCGGCUCAACCGAGGAACUGCAUUCAAAACUACUGAGCUAGAGUAUCGGAGGGGGUGGCGGAAUUCCCGGUGUAGAGGUGAAAUUCGUAGAUAUCGGGAGGAACACCUGUGGCGAAGGCGGCCACCUGGAAGAUUACUGACGCUGAGACGCGAAAGCGUGGGGAGCAAACAGG